rnacentral:rRNA from 1 species
UUCUUCGGAAUGGAAAUUGAUAUUCCAGCGGCGGACGGGUGAGUAACGCGUGAGCAAUCUGUCCCAGACAGGGGGAUAACAGAUGGAAACAUCUGCUAAUACCGCAUAAGACCACGAGAGGACAUCCUCUUGGGGUAAAAGGAGCAAUCUGGUUUGGGGUGAGCUCGCGUCCGAUUAGCUAGUUGGCGAGGUAACGGCCCACCAAGGCGACGAUCGGUAGCCGACCUGAGAGGGUGAUCGGCCACAUUGGAACUGAGACACGGUCCAAACUCC